UGGCGCGUGCUUACCAUGCAGUCGAGCGAUGAAGUUCCCUUCGGGGAACGGAUUAGCGGCGGACGGGUGAGUAACACGUGGGUAACCUGCCUCAAAGUGGGGGAUAGCCUUUCGAAAGGAAGAUUAAUACCGCAUAAUAUCUUUUUAUUGCAUGAUAGAAAGAUUAAAGGAGCAAUCCGCUUUGAGAUGGACCCGCGGCGCAUUAGCUAGUUGGUGAGGUAACGGCUCACCAAGGCGACGAUGCGUAGCCGACCUGAGAGGGUGAUCGGCCACAUUGGGACUGAGACACGGCCCAGACUCCUACGGGAGGCAGCAGUGGGGAAUAUUGCGCAAUGGAGGAAACUCUGACGCAGCAACGCCGCGUGAGUGAUGAAGGUCUUCGGAUUGUAAAGCUCUGUCUUUAGGGACGAUAAUGACGGUACCUAAGGAGGAAGCCACGGCUAACUACGUGCCAGCAGCCGCGGUAAUACGUAGGUGGCAAGCGUUGUCCGGAUUUACUGGGCGUAAAGCAUGCGUAGGCGGAUACUUAAGUGGGAUGUGAAAUCCCGGGGCUUAACCCCGGUGCUGCAUUCCAAACUGGGUAUCUAGAGUGCAGGAGAGGAAAGCGGAAUUCCUAGUGUAGCGGUGAAAUGCGUAGAGAUUAGGAAGAACACCAGUGGCGAAGCGGCUUUCUGGACUGUAACUGACGCUGAGGCAUGAAAGCGUGGGUAGCAAACAGGAUUAGAUACCCUGGUAGUCCACGCCGUAAACGAUGGGUACUAGUGUCGGGGUUUCGUUACCUCGGUGCCGCAGUUAACACAUUAAGUACCCCGCCUGGGGAGUACGAUCGCAAGAUUAAAACUCAAAGGAAUUGACG
rnacentral:rRNA from 1 species